ACCCUUUUGACUCAAUAGUAGAGUAAUGCCUUGGUAAGGCGUAAGUCAUCGGUUCAAGUCCGGUAAAGGGCU
rnacentral:tRNA from 1 species